GAUGAACGCUGGCGGCGUGCCUAAUACAUGCAAGUCGAGCGAACGGACGAGAAGCUUGCUUCUCUGAUGUUAGCGGCGGACGGGUGAGUAACACGUGGAUAACCUACCUAUAAGACUGGGAUAACUUCGGGAAACCGGAGCUAAUACCGGAUGAUAUUUUGAACCGCAUGGUUCAAAAGUGAAAGACGGUCUUGCUGUCACUUAUAGAUGGAUCCGCGCUGCAUUAGCUAGUUGGUAAGGUAACGGCUUACCAAGGCAACGAUGCAUAGCCGACCUGAGAGGGUGAUCGGCGACACUGGAACUGAGACACGGUCCAGACUCCGACGGGAGGCAGCAGUAGGGAAUCUUCCGCAAUGGGCGAAAGCCUGACGGAGCAACGCCGCGUGAGUGAUGAAGGUCUUCGGAUCGUAAAACUCUGUUAUUAGGGAAGAACAUAUGUGUAAGUAACUGUGCACAUCUUGACGGUACCUAAUCAGAAAGCCACGGCUAACUACGUG
rnacentral:rRNA from 1 species